AACGAACGCUGGCGGCAGGCUUAACACAUGCAAGUCGAGCGCGUAGCAAUACGAGCGGCAGACGGGUGAGUAACGCGUGGGAAUCUACCUAUCACUACGGAACAACUCCGGGAAACUGGAGCUAAUACCGUAUACGUCCGUAAGGAGAAAGAUUUAUCGGUGAUGGAUGAGCCCGCGUUGGAUUAGCUAGUUGGUGGGGUAAUGGCCUACCAAGGCGACGAUCCAUAGCUGGUCUGAGAGGAUGAUCAGCCACACUGGGACUGAGACACGGCCCAGACUCCUACGGGAGGCAGCAGUGGGGAAUAUUGGACAAUGGGCGCAAGCCUGAUCCAGCCAUGCCGCGUGAGUGAUGAAGGCCCUAGGGUUGUAAAGCUCUUUCACCGGUGAAGAUAAUGACGGUAACCGGAGAAGAAGCCCCGGCUAACUUCGUG
rnacentral:rRNA from 1 species